GUCUAUUUUGCUUGAAUUGGUUGUAAUUUGAUAUUUUCAUUUGAUUAUAAAAGUGUUUCAUUUGUUUAAAUUAUAAUUUAUUAGUUUGUUUAGUAAAUUUUGGUUAUAAUUAAAUUCAGAGUUUUUUGUUUUAUGUUUUUUUUAAAGUUGGUGUUAAAGUUUUUUCUUUAUUUGUGCAAGAAUUUAUUUGUGAAAAUAGUGAAUGUAUAAUUUUUAUUGUAUUUUUUUAUGGCGACUUCUUUGUUUCAUUUUGCAUAAAGGGGACAUCGAUUAAAUAAUUUAAAAUUUGUAGUUCACGACCUUGCAAACAAACUUCUGAGGUGCACAUCAAGGAUGCUGGUAAAAUUUUUGUAAAUAAGUACAAUCAAGUCAGAAAAAAAUCAAUAUGUGUGGUGUAAAUAUUAAGGAAUCGAUAAUUCUUCGUGUUCUGGGCAUGGAAAUUCAGUGCGGUGUCCGCUGGACUAAACAAAUUCUUCAAGUGUCGAAAGAAGCAUUUAAGUGUCUCGUUGUAAGACAUACUUCGCUCCAUCUGAUAUUCUUACUAUUUACACUAAUUAUGUCUGACCGAAAAUGGAAUACAACUUUAUUAAUUCACUGUUCGAUCUAUACAUUAAUGGAAUGUGCUCAUUUGAAAUUAGGAACUUGUUCCCGAUAUCCGUAUAUUCUUGCGUAACACGCGUGUUUCUUCAAGAACACACCCAUUUGUGGUAGAUUGGCCAGUAGACCACAAAACUUAAUAUAGAGAAUUUCAUUCUUCAAUCUUCACCCGCAUUGUUCGUAUGUGGAAUAAACUUCGUACAGAGCCGGAUCAUUUUAUUGCUUAUUCUUUGAAUUAGCUAUUUGUGGUAUUUUAAUGGAGAAUUGAUAAUUACCAGCAUCUGGAGCCUUGGCCGUAUUUACGUGGAUGCGAAUACCAAAGAUUAGCAAAACCCAUGUUGGCUACUUAACUUCGUAAAAGCAAAAGAAAGAAAA